UACGGGGGGAGCAAGCGUUGUUCGGAUUUACUGGGCGUAAAGGGCGCGUAGGCGGCGUGACAAGUCACUUGUGAAAUCCCCGGGCUUAACCUGGGAAUGGCCUUUGUGACUGCACGGCUAGGAGUGUGUCAGAGGGGGGUAGAAUUCCAACGUGUAGCAGUGAAAUGCGUAGAGAUGUGGAGGAACACCGAUGGCGAAGGCAGCCCCCUGGGUCAAGAUUGACGCUCGAUGACACGAAAGCGUGGGGAGCAAACAGG
rnacentral:rRNA from 1 species